rnacentral:rRNA from 1 species
GAUGAACGCUGGCGGCGUGCCUAAUACAUGCAAGUCGAGCGAACGGACGAGAAGCUUGCUUCUCUGAUGUUAGCGGCGGACGGGUGAGUAACACGUGGAUAACCUACCUAUAAGACUGGGAUAACUUCGGGAAACCGUAGCUAAUACCGGAUAAUAUUUUGAACCGCAUGGUUCAAAAGUGAAAGACGGUCUUGCUGUCACUUAUAGAUGGAUCCGCGCUGCAUUAGCUAGUUGGUAAGGUAACGGCUUACCAAGGCAACGAUGCAUAGCCGACCUGAGAGGGUGAUCGGCCACACUGGAACUGAGACACGGUCCAGACUCCUACGGGAGGCAGCAGUAGGGAAUCUUCCGAAAUGGGCGAAAGCCUGACGGAGCAACGCGGCGGGAGUGAUGAAGGUCUUCGGAUCGUAAAACUCUGUUAUUAGGGAAGAACAUAUGUGUAAGUAACUGUGCACAUCUUGACGGUACCUAAUCAGAAAGCCACGGCUAACUACGUG